rnacentral:ncRNA from 1 species
AAUCAUCUGCCGCCGGGCAGAAUCAUGCAUCGGCUCCGCACCGUUAGGCCUUUGAAGGUGCGGGGAGGCCGAUGCAUUUUCUUUU